rnacentral:rRNA from 1 species
UGCAGUCGAGCGGACAGAUGGGAGCUUGCUCCCUGAUGUUAGCGGCGGACGGGUGAGUAACACGUGGGUAACCUGCCUGUAAGACUGGGAUAACUCCGGGAAACCGGGGCUAAUACCGGAUGGUUGUUUGAACCGCAUGGUUCAGACAUAAAAGGUGGCUUCGGCUACCACUUACAGAUGGACCCGCGGCGCAUUAGCUAGUUGGUGAGGUAACGGCUCACCAAGGCGACGAUGCGUAGCCGACCUGAGAGGGUGAUCGGCCACACUGGGACUGAGACACGGCCCAGACUCCUACGGGAGGCAGCAGUAGGGAAUCUUCCGCAAUGGACGAAAGUCUGACGGAGCAACGCCGCGUGAGUGAUGAAGGUUUUCGGAUCGUAAAGCUCUGUUGUUAGGGAAGAACAAGUGCCGUUCAAAUAGGGCGGCACCUUGACGGUACCUAACCAGAAAGCCACGGCUAACUACGUGCCAGCAGCCGCGGUAAUACGUAGGUGGCAAGCGUUGUCCGGAAUUAUUGGGCGUAAAGGGCUCGCAGGCGGUUUCUUAAGUCUGAUGUGAAAGCCCCCGGCUCAACCGGGGAGGGUCAUUGGAAACUGGGGAACUUGAGUGCAGAAGAGGAGAGUGGAAUUCCACGUGUAGCGGUGAAAUGCGUAGAGAUGUGGAGGAACACCAGUGGCGAAGGCGACUCUCUGGUCUGUAACUGACGCUGAGGAGCGAAAGCGUGGGGAGCGAACAGGAUUAGAUACCCUGGUAGUCCACGCCGUAAACGAUGAGUGCUAAGUGUUAGGGGGUUUCCGCCCCUUAGUGCUGCAGCUAACGCAUUAAGCACUCCGCCUGGGGAGUACGGUCGCAAGACUGAAACUCAAAGGAAUUGACGGGGGCCCGCACAAGCGGUG